UGGAUGGGUCAGGGAAAUUUCUCUAAACUGGUGUUUCCUAACCCUGGCUGUGUGUUAAGAUCACCUGGGAGCUUUUUAUACCUAAUAGGCAGUCCAUGAGAUUCUGACUUAAGCUUAUCUGGGACGGGACCCUUGGCAUUAGAAAAUUUGAAUCUCCUUGGGGUAUUGUAAUGUGUAGUCAAGCCUGAGAUUUGCUGUUCUAAACCAGUUUUUCUUAACAACACCUGGGUGCUAAGCACAGCUGCAUUUUGGUGUGACUUCCUUUUAAUAACCACAAGCCACGUUAAGGAAGGCUGGAGGCUGCCCCCUAUGGGGUAGGAGGCCACGCCAUAACCCUACGUUUAGACAGGUGACAAUGGGAAGUAGGUAUCUCAAGACCAGGUGGGCAAGAUUAAAAAAAUGGCAAGUUCUGAAGGCAGCGAAAAAUCCCCAGCUGAAGAUGACAGAGGCUGGAACCAAUUCAGGAGUAUGAGCCAAAGAUUACAGUCCCAGGACAGCAAACUACCAGGGUCAGGUUAUCCCAGGCCUAUGGAGCCAGCACGGGGGUAAAGCUUGAUUCUAGAACCAACUGCAGCAUGUCAGCAACUCCAUAUGUCCCAUGUCCUGGGCCAGAACUGGGUGAGUGGGAUUGUAUUCACCUGGGUUUUACACAACCAGGACAAAAAGAAGAGGAAGCUAGCAGGAUCUUGAAAAGUAAAAAGCAGAGAGGAAAUUGUUUGGUCUACAUAAUGCUCAUCGACCAGUUGCAUUGUUUUUGUUUUUGUCUUUACCAAACUGACCAAAUGUUUCUGACGUUGUAUAGAUCCCUGAGAUAAUGAGAAUCCAGACAGAACAGUCCCUUGGAGCGGCGCUCCUCAAACUUGAAUACUGCAAUGAAUUCCCUGGGGAUCUUGUUAAAUUGAUGAAGGGAGUCUGUUGUUUCUGCAGAAGGGUCCCAUUCCUUGAGCAAAGUAACUUUCUGAACACCUAAGUACAAGGACAGCAUCGCGCCAUAAACAAUGUUCCGCAUCACCCACUUUCCUUCCCCACGCCCUGUCCCAUCAGAAAGGCCGACGUUCCACAGAGUGAACCAGGCUUGAGUUGACCUAGUGAAGCAAGAACCACAAAUAAGUAACCUGUUACCUGGGAACAGAGCAGCAAUUCUUUCGUAAAUGAAUGUCAAUGAGGUACAUUUAUGACAACUCCUCUUGGAGUGAAGGUGGAAUGAGGGACUGGAAGGUAGGUACUCAAGACAAGCUCUGCCCUGGGGAGGGGGUGGGGGGCUGUGUGGUAGUCUCAGUUCCUCCACAAAGCAGCUGUGUGAGGUUGAUAGCAAGACGGCCCCCCUUCUCCAGGCUCAGUAUAUUUGUGUAAAGUGACAGGGUUGAACAGAUAACUGUUGUUGGUUUAGAGCACUGAGAUUCUGUGACUCUCUAUUGCUAGUUAUCUCUAGAACAUUCCCUGCUCCACACCCAGG